rnacentral:tRNA from 1 species
GGUACUAUGGUUCAGUUGGCAAAAGCACCUACCUCCUAAACAGGAGAUCGUGGGUUCAAGUCCCAGUGGUGCCU